UACGUAGGGUGCGAGCGUUGUCCGGAAUUAUUGGGCGUAAAGAGCUCGUAGGCGCCUGUCGCGUCGGUUGUGAAAGCCCGGGGCUUAACCCCGGGCGUGCAGUGGAUACGGGCUGGCUGGAGGCAGGCAGGGGAGAACGGAAUUCCCGGUGUAGCGGUGAAAUGCGCAGAUAUCAGGAAGAACACCCGUGGCGAAGGCGGCUCUCUGGGACGUGACUGACGCUGAGACGCGAAAGCGUGGGGAGCGAACAGG
rnacentral:rRNA from 1 species